CGGGAGGCAGCAGUAGGGAAUCUUCCACAAUGGACGAAAGUCUGAUGGAGCAACGCCGCGUGAGUGAUGAAGGUUUUCGGAUCGUAAAACUCUGUUGUUAAAGAAGAACAAGUGUUAGAGUAACUGUUAACACUUUGACGGUAUUUAACCAGAAAGCCACGGCUAACUACGUGCCAGCAGCCGCGGUAAUACGUAGGUGGCAAGCGUUGUCCGGAUUUAUUGGGCGUAAAGCGAGCGCAGGCGGUUUUGUAAGUCUGCUGUGAAAGCCCUCAGCUCAACUGAGGAAGUGCAGUGGAAACUACAAAACUUGAGUACAGAAGAGGAAAGUGGAACUCCAUGUGUAGCGGUGAAAUGCGUAGAUAUAUGGAAGAACACCAGUGGCGAAGGCGGCUUUCUGGUCUGUUACUGACGCUGAGGCUCGAAAGCAUGGGUAGCGAACAGGAUUAGAUACCCUGGUAGUCCAUGCCGUAAACGAUGAAUACUAGGUGUUGGAGGGUUUCCGCCCUUCAGUGCCGCAGCUAACGCAUUAAGUAUUCCGCCUGGGGAGUACGACCGCAAGGUUGAAACUCAAAGGAAUUGACGGGGGCCCGCACAAGUGGUGGAGCAUGUGGUUUAAUUCGAUGCUACGCGAAGAACCUUACCAGCUCUUGACAUCUUCUGCCAACCCAAGAGAUUGGGCGUUCCCUUCGGGGACAGAAUGACAGGUGGUGCAUGGUUGUCGUCAGCUCGUGUCGUGAGAUGUUGGGUUAAGUCCCGCAACGAGCGCAACCCUUAUUAUUAGUUGCCAGCAUUUAGUUGGGCACUCUAGUGAGACUGCCGGUGAUAAACCGGAGGAAGGUGGGGACGACGUCAAAUCAUCAUGCCCCUUAUGAGCUGGGCUACACACGUGCUACAAUGGAUGGUACAACGAGUCGCGAAACCGCGAGGUCAAGCUAAUCUCUUAAAGCCAUUCUCAGUUCGGAUUGCAGGCUGCAACUCGCCUGCAUGAAGUUGGAAUCACUAGUAAUCGUGGAUCAGCAUGCCA
rnacentral:rRNA from 2 species